rnacentral:misc_RNA from 1 species
AAGUCGUAACAAGGUUUCCGUAGGUGAACCUGCGGAAGGAUCAUUAUGAAUUUGUGCAGUGCGCGAGCACUGAGCACAGUGCGCAAGCACUGAGCACCGUGCGCAAGCACUGUGCGUAUACCCUGUGGGAAUGUCUGCGUGCGGCGGCGUGUAGCAGCAUGCGUGCCUCUGGGCACUGCACUGUGAUGCGCUCCGCCGCACUGCUACCUGCGUCAAACGAUGUCGAUUGUCAGAGGUACGUAUGCGUAAAUGCAAACAACUUUUAACAAUGGAUCUCUUGGCUCUU